CCGUGUCCCUGGACAAUUGUUACAGCUCUGGGAAAAAUCCAAGAGGCUGCCAUCUUGGUGAGCUAGUGCAAGCCAUCCACAAGGAGGGGAGGAGAACUAACCUUUGAUCAGACCUUUGAAAACAAGAUUCACACAAGUGCCUCCACAGACCUCAGCUUGGCAACCACAGGUUCCAGGGGUCCUUUCUGAGCUCACCCAGGCAGUCCCAGGGAGGUGGCUGACCAUUCAUUCAUUCACUGACUCUUCAUUCUCCCUCAUGUAUCAGGCCCCAACCCAGACACUGGAGCUAGGAUGGGCAUUUGGACUCAGAACAUUCACUGCCUCAGGGGACAGAUGACCUACCAGAAGUUAGAAGUUGGUUCUUGUCUUCUGAGUGUCAAAAACUGAUGUCUGUGUGUGUAUGUGUGGGAGCGGGGGUGGUGGUGAAAAGAACCAAAUAUUUGGAAGAUGCAGGAUGCUCCAAGUCCCCAGGCCAGAUGAUGCUUCCUCGGCUGAGGGAAGAUGAGGACCACUGUCCAUGUUCCCUGGGGAACUUGUCUUCUUGCAGUGCCCAUCGAAACUGGAACAGCUCUGAACAAAACAGACAAAGCUCCUGACCCCACGGAGCAUCCACUUUUGUGGAGGGAGAGAGACGCCAAACAGGUAAGUGAGUGAGUGAUACAGUUCAUCAGAGUUCGGUGAAGUGCUAUGAAGAAAUAUAAGGCAGGGAGGUGGGAUUGGAGGUACUCCACUCCAACACUCCAUCUUCUUUACCUGCUCAGCUUUCCUUGUCUUCCACGGCACUUGGGUCCUUCUAAUAUUCUAUAUGAAUGAUUUCCUUAUUAAAUUUAAAGUUAACUUUCUGCAUGCUCCCUCCUGGGUCUCCUGCAGGAAAAGACACCCCAUCAGAGCCAGGCUCUUUGAGUCUGGUCUAUGAGUUCACAGCAUGAAUGAGUGGGAUGGGAGGGGUGAGGAGGAGAGCAGUCCCCUCCCCCACCCAGAACCUUCCUACCCUUAGACCGGCAGCUCCAGUCCAGCAAAGGGACAAGGGGGGCGGUCCUCUUCACUCCCUACCUGGUCACCCAGGCUGGGUGUUGGCAGGUGGGUGGGAUGGUGCAACCUGGGUUAUACUGGGCACAAGCUCGUCCUGGAGCCCACCAGGAGUCCUCCUGCAGUGCCGGGGCAGUAGGGACAGAAGUCUCGUCUCUGCCCUCCACCCCAUUCUCUGCCACCCCCCAGGAUCAAGGGCAAAGGCGUUUAAUUCUGCACGAAGUCCAAGCCAGUAUCACAGGUCUGGGGUCUUCAAGGCCGACAGCUCUCACACUGCUCUAGAAGGGAGGGGAGAGUCUGCUUGGCACCUGCUCUCCUGUAUUUCUCCCCAUCUGAUGUAAUUGCUUUAUCCUUACUGAAAACCUGUGACAGGGAGGCUUGGACUGAUGCGCCCGCUGAGACCCUAAUGCUUUCCCAAGCCCCCUCAGCGCACUGCAGAGAUGCUGGCAAAAUGGGUCGGCCCAGCUUCAGGGUCAAAAGGCAAGGAGGGGUGUGGGGGGUUGGGACAAGAGAUUGGCAGGUGGGCCCAGAACAGGAAGGUCUGGGAACUUUGUCACAACCGCCUGGUGGUCUGGGCCACAGUUUCCUAAAAAUGGAGAGAGAGGGGGGUAUUUUGUGACAAAAUGCUUAAAUAAAAUGAAAAUGACUUACUUGUUUUUGGGCUUCUCAGGACCUUUAUAUGCUGAUAAGAAGUGUGAUGGUAAGAGAAGUCAGUGCAGUAUUUCUCAAACUCCUGUCCUCUUUGUGGAGGAUCUUGAGGGGCCAAGGCUCCUCGAGGUUCCUUUGAGAAAUGCUGGUUUAUGUCCACAGCCAUCUGAGAUAUGAGGCUUCCUGCUUCCCUCCCUUUCUGCCUCCUUCAUCUUUCCCUCUAUUUUUUUCCUCUGCUAAUCCGGCUUGCAUAAGACUACCCCAUUAAGUCAUAGAAAAACACUUGACUCUGCUGUGGGCGUUAUGGAGCUAUUGAGUUAUGCAAAUACAAGGAAAUCAGACUUCUUCACCCAGCAUUCAAAGUUCCAGUCUGGCUUUCAAUUUAGCACCUGCAUUUCCCCUUCCUUGCUUCGACCAAACCUUUCCCCUUACCGUCCCAGGAUAGCUGUGAACUUUUGCUUUGAGCCUUUGCUUUGCUAGACUAUCCCACUUUCCUUCUUUUAGGUCACCUCCUUCAAGUAGCCUUCCCUGAUUAUCCCAGACUUGCCUCAGAAGGUGAGAAGCCCUAGCUGUUCAUUUAAAAUAACUAUAAAAAUCACCCCCUGUAUAAUCUCGGAGAGUAUAAUUAUGGGCACCCAAAGGAACAAGUUUAUCAGGGACUCGAAGGGUGGUCCAAUGGCCUUAGGAAGAUUGGCCUUCUGACUUUCUCAAAAGGAUCCCUAAAGCAUUUGCAGAGCAUGUCAUCUCAGAAUCCCCGAUCCAGGCUGGUCUUUGGCUAAUUUAACUUUUCCCUUUGAUGUUUUAUUGGGGAACAAUUCAAACAUAUAUAAAUGUAGAGAGACUAUUAUAUUGAUAGCUCCUCCAUCUGUCAUCUAGCUUCAACAGUGAUCAAUCAUGCUUCACGUCUACAUCUCCCCAUUCCCCUGUAUCAUUUUGAAGUGAAUAUACCCCAGGCACUGUAUAUUCUAUCCAUAUUCAGCUUGGUACAUUUUUCUACACUUUUUUACAUAACCAUAAUACAGUUAUUCCACUAAAGAAUUAAGAAUAAAUUCUUAAUGUCAUCAAAUAUCCAGUGACUGUUCAAAUUUCCAGUUGCCUCACACACCUCUUAAGCUUAUUUUAUAGUUGGUUUGAAUCAGGAGCCUAAGGAGGUUGGUUGAUAUAUCUGUCUCUUUUAAUCUAUAAUCCUUCUCAAUUCCUCUCUUUCAUUUUUAAAAAUAGACUUUGUCUUUUGGAACAGUUUUAGGUUCAAAAUUGAGAGGAAGGUGCAGAGAGUUCCUGUACAUCCCGUGUUUCCAGCCUGGCACAGUCAGCCCGUUUUCAACGUCCGAGCCGUAGAGCUGCAUUUGUUACAAUCAGCGAGCCUACACUGACACUUUGUAAUCACCCUGAGUCCAUAGUGUACACGAGGGUUUAUUCUUGGUGUUGUACAUGCUAUGGGCUUGGACAAAUGUAUAAUGACAUGUAUGCGUCAUUAUAGCAUCACACAGAGUAUUUUCACUGCCCUAAAAAUUCUGUGCAUUCUGCCUAGUCAUGCCUCCCAUAAACCCUGGCAACCACUGAUCUUUUUACUGUGUCCAUAGUUUUGCCUUUUCCAAAAUGUCAUAUGGUGGGAUUUAAGCAAUAUGUCUCCUUUUCAGAUCGGCUUCUCUCACUUACUGAUAUACAUUUAAGUUUCCUUCUAGUCUUUUCACGGCUUGAUAACUCAUUUCUUUUUUAACACCGAAUGCGCCACUGUCUGAAGGUACCGCAGUUUAUCCAUUUACCUACUGGAGGACAUCUCGGUUGCUUCCAAGUUUUGGCAAUUACAGGUAAAGCUGCUAUAAAUAUCCGUGUGUAGGUUUUGGCGUGGACAUAGUUUUCCAACUACCUUUGGGUAAAUACGAAGAGCACAAUUGCUGGAUUGAAUCGUAAGAGUAGUUUAGUUGUAUAAGAAACCACCAAACUGUCUGCCAAAGUGACUACCUCUCUCCUUUUAAUUUUUUUUUUUUUAAAGAAAACGAUGCUUGUCCUGUGUUUUCCCUGUGUGGACUUUAUUGGUUUCAUUCCCAUGGUGUUCUCUAACUCAUCCCUCUGUCUUCUGUAGUCCCAGUAAAUUGACAAUUAGUUUUUGAGGCUUGAGCAGAUUCAAAUUUGGCUUUUCCGUUGGGAGACACCCAGAGCCUGCUGGGGGAUGUCAGCAGCUGUGGAUGUUCAAGAUCUAGGUCCAUUUAUCCAUUAGGGGUUGCAAACGGUGAGAUUCUCAUUCUAGCAUCCUUUCUUCAUCUGCAGGCAGGAAUACUUCUAAAAGGAGAAAUGUCCCUUAUCUACGAUUUGGGUACCCAGUGGCACAGUAUGCAUGGAAAAGGCAGGAUAAAUGCUUCAUUCUUUCCCUUUAUUUACCAACUAAUUACCUUUUAAUGGAGUGAUGCUGACAGCUAACACUUGUAGAACACUUACAGAUCACCAAAUGUUUUUAUCAACACUAUCUCAUUUCAUUAUCACAACAACCCUGUGAGGUAGCCAGGACAGAUGGUGCUAUAAUUUUUUUUAUCUUUCAUUUAUUUUUUUUUGCAGAUGAGCAGACUAAGGUCCAGAGUAAAGUGACUUGCCCACUCUCAGAGAGCUACUGGAAUAAUCAUUGCUAACAUAACAGAGAACCCUAACCCUGUGCCAGACGCUGUUCCCUCAAUACCAAUGAACACAUUUCCUUCUCUUGACAACUCCAAGAGCCAGGGAGGGGGCAGUGAUUACCCCCAGUUCACAGAUGGGGAAGCCCGAGGCCCAGACAGGUCAGCUAACCUGGUAAUAGUAGUGAUAAUUAUUUAUUGAGCACUAACUGUGUGCCAGAUGCCUUGCUAAGUGGUCCGAACAACAUAACACACUGCUCUGCCAUCUGGUGUGUGAUGAGUUCUUGCCACGUGGCAGGUACAUUGAGUCUUCCCAGCAAGUUCAUGUUAACGCUCUAUCACAAAGAGGGAUGCUCCUGGGGUCACAGGGCUGGUAUGCGACUGAGAUGGGUCCUAGUCCAGCUCCAGUCUGCAUCAAUGCUGUCUCCAGCCACCGCACAGCCAGGACUUGAGGCCAGAACUCUCUGCCCGUGUUUGGACCUCCUCUUCCUCCUCUCCCUGGCAUCCAGAGAGGGUCUGAUUCGGAAGAGAGAUUUCUUGUGGGUCAGUAGCUGCCUCCCACCUUCUCUGCCCGCAAAGAGAAGCUGCCAUGUUUGACGUUAAUUGACAAGGGAGGAGAGAGGCUACAAAAAAUGGGGAAGAAACCUCGUUACUUGGCAAAAGAAUUAAGUGGUUUUAGUGUCUUCACCACAUCCUCGGAUGUAGGGGGCUCGGUCCCUCACUGGUGUUUCCCACCACUUUUCCUCCAGAACUGGGAUAUGAAGCCCACUCAGUCAUACAAUAGACUGAGCAGACAGGGCGCCUUUUGACCCAGCAGGGAGGGAUAGGGCGCCUAGACCAAAAGUGCACCCUGAGUUCCCAUCAGACGUCACCACAAGGCCCUGCUCCACCGUGGCCUCGAUAAUACUUGUGCCCCUGGGCUAAUGUCAUUGCGGCCGCAGGCUGGCAUGAACAGUCGCAAACGGGUCUCCUUACAGGGAGAUUCCCUUGCAUAAUGAGAGGCCGUGGCCUGCUCCCGGCACGCAGAGAGGCCCUCUGGAAGAAGGCAAAGGCGAUGGGGGAGAAGACAGGAGAAGGAUAAACAAGAACCAAUUAAACCCUCAAUUCGAGCAGAGUAAAUGAAUUUGACUUUAGGUGAUCAAGAGGGAGAAAACUUCUAAUUAGACACACGGCAACCCUGGGGCUGAGCACGCUCGUGACUGCCCUCAUGCCUGCCUCUCGUCACUUUUUAGAUAAAUGUUAAGGAUUAGAAUGAGAUGUAAUUAGAAUCCGUCAAUCCCGUGCAUUCGCUCCUGGUGGGGUUUGACGUCUGCUCAUCUCCUUUCUCUUUUGUCUGGAGUGCUCAUCCCCCCUUCUCUCUUCUGAGCUCUGAUUGGCUCCUGUUACAGCCAAUCCCCCCCUCCUUUUUUUUUUUCAAAUUAAUUUAUUUUAAUUGGAGGCUAAUUACAAUAUUGUAGUGGCUUUUGUAACACACUGGCAUGAAUCAGCCAUGGGUAUACAAGUGUCCCCCACCCUGAUCUCCCCUCCCACCUCCCUCCCCAACCAAUUCGUUUUGAGCUGGAGGAACCCUCAGGCUGGAAGACCAGCUCUCAAAGACCAAGAGAGGGUAGGGAGUCCAGGGAUAAAUACCUGGACCCGGCAAAUUGGCCAGUGGUUGCAGACCAGAGGCACUUGGACACAGUCUGUCCCACUGCUGCUGCUGCUGCUAAGUUGCUCAGUCGUGUCCAACUCUUAGAAACCCCAUGGACUGCAGCCCACCAGGCUCCUCCGUCGGGAUUUUCCAGGCAAGAGUACUGGAGUGGGGUGCCAUUGCCUUCUCCAACAGUCCCACAGAUGGCAGUUCUGAUGGUAUUCCCACGUGGAGACGAUUGACUCAAACUGAAGAGCAGCCACCCUCGGAGACAGGAUACUGUGGCCCCAGCUCAUGACAUCUCCUUGUCGGGCCAGAUUUACUGGUCCGGUUGGUCAUUCAGCCUCGGAGGCAUUUGAGUGGUCGGUCUUCUAACCUCAGUGUUCAAUCUCCAGGUGAUGGGAGAUGCCCAUGGGUCCACCUGGAAUCUCCCUGCCACUCGUGCUGAGUCCUCUGCCUGGAAAGCGCUUCCUCAGCCUCCAUUCAAAUGGCUUCAAGCUUGCUGGCUGGAGAUCAUUUACAGAAAGGUCGUUGGGAAUUAACACAUCCCUACGGCCAGGGAAUUCAGCUUGCAGUUGAGAAUGAAGAGAUGCUGUGCUUAACACAAUGGAAGAUGUGCUAAUGGCGGACUUGCUGGCAUUGGACAACGGGGUUGAAGCAGUGAAUUCCACCAUGCUGUUGAAGAAAUCAAGAGGGAGCUGAACAAAUGUGGUGGUCAUUAGUGCUAUUUUCUGGAUAUUUCCAGCUCUCUGUUUUCUGGGGACAAGGUCUCUGAACUUG
ensembl:lncRNA